UUCUAACAAAAAAAAAAAGACAAUGAUAGUAAUAAAUUAACAACAGUUAUCUGUUUUUCAAAGGACAAAAAACAAGGGCUCUCUGUUUGAAAAAAAAAAGUCACGCUCGAACGCGGAGGUAGAUAUAAAUCCCAAUCGCUUGUUUUGAAUUUUUUUUCCAGCGAAGGUAGUAUUACAAGAUUUUUUGGCUGCUGAGCUACAUUUUUUCACUUUUUUGGCUUUGCCAAAAAAGUCAAAAAGACUACGCCGCGGAUUUUCCUUUGAAGCGCGCUCUUCACAUUUAGUUAUGAAUGCGAAGGAACAGAAUUUUCUCUAACUUUCAACUUUGUCUUCUCUAACUUUCAAGUUCAAUUUAAUGGAUAAUCAUCAAUAAUAUUGACAAAUUAAUGUGAAGAAAAAAAAAUAAAGCCCAUUUCUAAAUUUUUAAGAGAAAGAGAGAUUGUCAGAUGCAGAAGGCAUCAGCUGCAAAGAGCAGUCCAAGUGUCCCAUUUUUGAGCAUUGGAGCUUCGAAAAUUGAGGCGGAGCCCAAGUCAUAUGUAAAAAUUUAAAGAGAUCAACGCAAAUAUGCUGAUUUGCCCAGUGCUGGCCAAUUCUCGGCGUCGGCCCACCUCGUCUCGUCUUCUUUCCUUUCUUCCUCUCUUUCCCUUCCCUCGGCCCUCUCUUUCCCAUUCUUUCUUUUCUUUUUUUUUUUCUUUUUUUUAAAUUAAAAACAUAUAAAUUUUUAAAAAUUUUCAUUUUUUAUGCUGUGUCAAAAUGAUAAUAACAUUUUUGUCACGUACGAGUUUACUGAACGUUUUGAUUAUCUAAACUAUAAAGGUUUUAGUUUAAA
rnacentral:lncRNA from 1 species